GAAAUGCGAUAAGUAAUGUGAAUUGCAGAAUUCCGUGAAUCAUCGAAUCUUUGAACGCGCAUUGCGCCCUCUGGCAUUCCGGGGGGCAUGCCUGUCCGAGCGUCAUUACGCACCCUCAAGCCCGGCUUGUGUGAUGGGCCCUGGCGUCUCGUUCGCGAGACGGGCCCGAAAGGCAGCGGCGGCGUCGACCCGAUGAGCCCGAGCGUAUGGGGACUUUUGUCACACGUUUGCGGUGCGGACCGGCGCCUGCUUGACUUUUCUGAUUAUCCAGGUUGACCUCGGAUCAGGUAGGGAUACCCGCUGAACUUAAGC
rnacentral:misc_RNA from 1 species